rnacentral:rRNA from 1 species
GGGUGUUCUGCUGGACUGAUGUGGGACUUCCUACCGGUGGGCUUGCCCUUUAUAGGGGGGGCCCAACUAAUAUCCACUUUUACCUGCUCUUUAUUGAAUGGUUCAACGGGCGCUUACGCUCACUUUCAUCAAAUUGGAAUGCUUAAAUCAGGCUAUCCUCGCCUGAAUACUGGGUUUCAUGGAAUAAUGGAAUGGGACCUCGGUUCUAUUUUGGGGGUUUUCGGAACCCCCAGGUAAUGAUAAAUACGGACAGAUGGGGGCAUUCGUGUGCGCCGUAAGAGGUGAAAUUGAUAGAUGGGGGCAAGACGGACAGGAGCGAAAACAUGAACCUAAAAUAUUGUCUCUAGUCAAGAACGAAAGUAAGAGGUUGCCAGGCGAUCAGACACCGCCCUAGUUCUAACCAUAGGGGAUGCCAAACAGUGAUCCGCCGAAGUUCUUUUGACGACUAGGUGGGCAGAUUCGGGGUAACCAAAAUUUAUGGGUUCCGGGGGAAGUAGCGCUGCAAAGGAAAUAAUUAAAGGAAGGUUCGGAAGGGCACCACCUGGAAAGGAGCAAACGGAAUAAAAUUGAUCAAAGGGGGAAACCUCACCAGGACCAGACACCGGAAGGAUUGUCAGAAUGAGGAAUCUUUCCAGGUCCAGAGGUGGUGGGGCAUGGCAGUUUUUAGUUGUGGAAUGAUUUGUUGGGUUAAUUUGCAUAACCGUUGAGAGUUGGUGGAUUGUUUUGUGGGGUACAUUAUGGUAUCGAGAAGGCCCCCGACUUCGGAAAUAGGCAUUCCGGCUUCAACGGGUAACCAAAUUUUUAGAGAGAACUCAGGUUUAAGCCGCAAAGGAU